GUCAUAGAUAAUGUCAGGUCUAGUCAGGGAUGCCGGAAGUUGCUGAGGGCAAGGGGUGCAAUUGGUUAACAAGAGGGCAUACUCCUUAAUAAAAGGCACCAAUGAAAAUGAAAGGGCGUCAUGAUCCUACAUUCGGGUCAACCUCCCUCCCCGUCACCAAAUGUUUUCGGACCGAAUACAAUUAUUUAGGCACAAUUCCUCCGUAAUUUCUCGCCAAAAAUUCCAUAAGUAAUGCUUUCCGUUUCACCUUUCGCCAAAUGGAUAACAAUUUUGCCGAAUUCCUGACGACUGGGGGGUGGAACACCCCCACACACAUCCUCGAACGACGUUUAAUUCUGUCUGUUGUAAAAGUUUUGUGCACC